ACCAACAUGGUGAAACCCCGUCUCUCCUAAAAAUACAAAAAUUAGCCUGGCAUGUGGUUCACGCCUGUAAUCCCAGCACUUUGGGAGGCCGAGGUGGGUGGAUCACGAGGUCAGGAGAUCGAGACAAUCCUGGCUAACACGAUGAAACCUCAUCUCUACUAAAAAUACAAAAAAUUAGCCAGGCAUGGAGUCUCACUCUGUCGCCCAGGCUGGAGUGCAGUGGCGAGAUUCCGGCUCACUGCAACCUCUGC
rnacentral:lncRNA from 1 species